AUACAUACAUACAUAUAUAUAUAUAUAUAUAUAUAUAUAUACAUAUAUUUUAUAUAUAUUGUCAAUGAAGGUUGUACAUCAUAGUUACUGGUAACAAAAUGUACCCCAUCUCUUGCUAGCUCCUCUCCUGUCUAGUUCUGGAUCUUGUAGCUUCUGACUCGCAGAAAUCCUAAUUUUCCACCUGGCUUUGUCUCUCUCUCCUUUGUUUCAGUCAUCCCCUGGGAAAGACAUUCGUCCCUUGCUUGCUCCUGAAUGGAUGCUCUCAUUACUCCUGCUCAUUGAUGGAAAUUUAUUUACUCUGCGUGAAUAGAUGAUAAUUGGACACUGGGGUUGGGAGGGGUUGGGUCAAAACAACAUUGUUCUUGUCCUUUUCUCUAACAACUAGCAUUUCAUUCUUUUCAGAGCGAGACCUUUAGAGGUCUUAUCCCACUGAUAAAACCUGCAACAACUGAAAACACUGGAUCCUGGGAACAGGUCCAGAACAACAGAAAGAGAUAAAAAUACUGGGAACUUCUUCAAGAAGCAAUGCCAACUUCUGUGUGUGUGUGUGUGUGUGUGUGUGUGUGUGUGUGUGUGUGUGUGUGAAGAAGAUUAUGUCAUCCCAGCCUCUCAGGGUGGAAAUGAAGUAGUGAUCCCAGCCCCCUUUACACUGACUUCCAUACAGCAAAAGCCACAGGAGUGGGAUUCUGUAGAAUUUCAUUUAACUUAAAUGUAGGAGAUACACAGUGUACUAGUAGAGAGAAAAGCUCCUCCGGGAAUCCCAACAACGCACUUUAAGAAGUCCUCUGACGAUGAGGCCCUCACUGCACAUGAGUUCCUGCAGGUGCCUUCCCAUAGUGGAGAAUUUGGUUUGAUAGUGGGACCAUUACAAGGAGAUCUGCAGAUGCAUUGGUGACUCAUAAACCCGAGGACUGGCUUUUCACACCAUCUUGUGAGAUGUGCCUCCCUCCAACCUUAUUAGGAUGUUGGUAAAUGACCCAUUUCAUGUAGGGUGGGGCAAAAAGAAAAAGAGGUCCGCAAAAGUCCCCAGCCAGAAUGUUUUGCUUCUAGUCUUUCUCGCCUUUGCCAAAGUGCCAACAGUGUGAACCAGUAACUACCUCGCAAGAGUGGAUCGUGUGCAUUCCUCUGUUACCAACACAAUCCUUGUUUUAGGAAAGAAUAUGAUGCUGGGUAUUGUGAUACCUGCCUGUAAUCCCAAUAGUCAGCAGUUGAGGCAGGAGGGUUGUGAGAUCAUGGCUGGUUUGGACCACAGAGGAAGACCCUGUCUGUCUCGCUCUCUAAAAAAAGUGUGUGUGUAGGGGGCUGAUCUAUCUCUGGAGAUGACCGGUGUUAGGACAGGAAGUGUGAUGAGUAUCAUUUUGGCUGGGAGAGGACCACACUAGUAAAGAAGAGAGGCAGGGGCUGUGCUGACAGCAGGCCUAGGUAAGAAUCAGCAGGCGCGGGCCUCCACAGAGUUCUAUUCAGCAUCCCUAAAGACCUGCUACAGAUAAAAGCAAUCAUCUUAUGCUUGCCAUCUCAUCACUGGACUCUGUAUCUUCAGAAGAUACUUUCCUUUGAAGAAGACACCUUUUAAAACGCAAACGUUAGAGAAGAUUACAAACCACUUCCAUACGCCCGCGCACAUGAAGGCGGUGUGUGGAGUUAAGAAAGGAUGGGGAGAUGGGACCCAGUCCAACAAGAAACGACAGGGCAAGCAGAAGCCUCGUUCCUGGAACUUGCUACACUGAGCUCUGGGUUCCAGGUACUUCUCUGCAGGUCUAGACAGGAAGAUGAGGGUAAGCUGAGCGGCAGCCGGUCUCCUCUGGAGGAAGAAGGUGUUGGCCCAUGGCAGGAAAAGGAAGCCAGGCCCUCCCAUGAGGCUGACUCACCCACACCCACCCUGGUCAUGCUGGCUGCACCAUUUGUUCAAUUGAGGAUGUCAGAAGAGGCCAGACUGAAGAAUUGCCGUGGCAGAGAGAGACCCAUCAUGCAGAUUUCUGUAUCUGUUGAUCUCAAGCACGAAAAGGCAGAUGCCCGUUCCUUCAGCCCCUGCUAGACUUCAAGUCUCUACUAGCAGUUGUUUCCAACCUUCGCCGGGGGAGGCAGUAUAGCACAGUGGCUCACAGACUGUUCGCUGGUUGCAGGGUUAGUAACCUAAGCUUUCUGAGCCUAGGUUCUUCCACUGAGCUGACAGUGCUGUCUCUCUUAAGAUAGUGAUACUCAGUAUCCGAAACAAUACAUGGCAGGUAUCCAUCACUCCAAAGGUCAGCGUGGGGCUGGUGGCUCAGUGGUACUGUACACACUUAGCAUGCUCAAGGACCCUGCUUUGAUCUCCAGCACCGCACAUGCACACAUGAUGGUAAAUGACGGACACACAUGACUGUUUUUCAGGGUGAAGAGACUUGGAGACAGAGUCAGGAUUAGAUCCCUCGUUGAUACUGUGUCCAUAAUACCCAAUAGCCUAGUUCUUAAAACACGAGACAUCUUUACGACCAUUAAAUAAAGCGUGGGUUUUAAAAGGCUAAUACUCAAACAGCUUGCUUUUUCAUGGGUUCCAGGAAACAUGAGCUUUUAGACUUGGGUUACAAUAAAUCAUCUUCUCUUAGGCUCUGAUUCUGGUUAGAUAGCCUUUCCAUUUGAUCUGGGAUUGAGAGGAUUACUUAUGGAUAAGUUCUCCAAGUCGCCCGGGCUCAGGGUUUGGGUCCCAGGAUCCCAGAGAGCACUCAUUACAAGGUUUUAAUCAGGGUGAAGAGAGGACAAAGCCCCUCCUUCUCCAGCCCAACUGGGAGGGAUAAGAAUAUCCUAGUUUCAGAGUAGCACGCUGAGAUGGGAAAAGCAAAGCCUGAUUUAGAGAGGGCUGGGGACGGAAAGUCCGCUAAAGGCUCCAACAUUGCGCCAGGCGGCGCUGCAAUCUCUACCCUAAACAAUUUUCAGGAUAAUGGGCUAACACGGGGACCUUUUACAGAUAGACACAUUAUCAUCGCGCUGGGGGCUUGUGCGCCAAAGCGUCAGAGGGCUACCUUCUUGGAAAACUCCAGAGAAAGACUCUAAGCCUCAGAACCAGGGGAUUAAUAAAAAACGACAACAAAACCCCAACCAGACCGUGGCAACGUGCCGGUCAAGCUGUGUGGCUGAGGUGACGCGUGCAGCACCGCGAAGUGGCAAUGUGGCGGGAAGAGCAACUGAACAACCCUGGCAGCUCAGCAGGGAGAGUUACUGAGCUGGGAAACUGAAAGGAGAGCAAGCAAGAUGCUCGCACACAGAAGGAGAAAGCAGGGACCCGACUCUGGGAGGCAAUGGAAAGCCAGAAGGAAGGAGAGUGGUGAUGGGCUGGGGCUGGGGUGGAGGUGAACUGGGCGCCCAGCUGCUGAGGGAUGAUGCAUGGACUGGGAUCCACGCCGCGGAGGCCCCGCGGGGAUGCGCUAGGGUGGGGG